ACAAAAUGCCAGGAGUGUCCCCUUAGAGAAACUCUGGUAGAAGAAGGAAAGGGAGGCAGAAGACCAGAGCCCAGAACUCAAGCCCAGGAAUCUGACUUUGAGGCUACAACUGGAAUCGUGAAGCCUGUGUCUGAGAGAGGGGGAUGGGUGUAGUUGGGUGGCGAAAAGGAAGGAAGUUUGUUCUACA